GAUGAACGCUGGCGGCGUGCCUAAUACAUGCAAGUCGAGCGAACAGACGCGGAGCUCGCUCCUUUGACGUUAGCGGAGGACGGGUGAGUAACACGUAGGUAACCUACCUAUAAGACUGGGAUAACUUCGGGACACCGGAGCUAAUACCGGAUAAUAUUUCGAACCGCAUGGUUCGAUAGUGAAAGAUGGCUUUGCUAUCACUUCUAGCUGGACCUGCGCUGUAUUAGCUAGUUGGUACGGUAACGGCUUACCAAGGCAACGAUACGUAGCCGACCUGAGAGAGUGAUCGGCCACACUGGAACGGAGACGCGGUCCAGAGGCCUACGGGAGGCAGCAGUAGGGAAUCUUCCGCAAUGGUCGAAAGCCUGACAGAGCGACGCCACGUGAGUUAUGAAGGUCUUCGGAGCGUAAAACUCUGUUAUGAGGUAAGAACAAACGUGUAAGUAACUGUGCACGUCUUGACGGUACCUAAUCAGAAAGCCACGGCUAACUACGUG
rnacentral:rRNA from 1 species